AAAUACGUCUAUGGGCCUUUUGGCCCCCCACUGAUCCAAAAAAAUAAAACAUGUAUGCAUGUUACAUGAUAGGUCAUUAGGUUGUAAUUCGGAUAAGUAUGCCUAUACGAAUAUUUGAUAAUCCGAUGCAUUUGCUGGCAUCUCAGCAGAUCUAACAAAAUCAAUAUUGAAGAUUACAGUUGCCCCAUCUAAGCUGCCGCUCGUUUUACUUGCAAAGGUAUGAAUUAAUUUUAUCUCCCACUCCCUUAAUAAAUUGGAGAUUUUCUGAUUGUUAAUGUCAAACGCUUUGUUUCUUAUUCCUUCAAAUAACAAAUAUAACACAGCCUUUGGUUCCUUGAAGAAAUUAACUCUUAAAAUUAGCAGAAAUGGCCAUUGUGUCUGGAGAAACAUUUAGAAAGGAUCUUCUUGAUAGCAGCAGUUUUCUGAGAAACCCAAAACAGGUGUGCUAAAUCUUUUUAUCACAAGCAUGUUUAGGACCUAAAAAGGAACACAAAACAAGUCGUAAUUGUCAUAAGUUGAGCCACUCAAUAUCUUACAAUUCACAAGUAGCAAAGGAGACAAUCAAGUUUCAUAUCACCCAUAUGUACUACAUAAUUGUUAUGACCAACUUACUCUUGCAUACAGUUUUUUGGUGGUUUAUCCUUUCGGCCUCUAUAGUCCUAUGUUUCAAAUGAUUUUGUACCCAAAAGUCAGCUAAAUGUGGCAGUUCUACAGCCUAACAAAAUCAGUCAAUAAUCAAAAUAAUGCACAAAAUGCUAAGUAAUCGGGUUUUACCAGUUAAUGCAUAUGCCGUCAAGGAAUUCAUGCUUUUUAUUAACCAAUCUAGCUACUAGCUAAGUUCUCUUCAAAUUUAAGUGUGUUGGCUGCUGUUAAAAGCAUGUCCAUUCCUCCAUCUUUCUCCAAUUCUCGUCCUUGUUUCCAUCUCUUGCCAAGCUUAUACUUAGGUUUUGAAACAUCUUCGCCAGUUCUAAAAUUGAAAUUCUCAUAUGUCUUUUUAGCCCGGCGUAUUGCUUGGAUCCCUGCAUCGCAUUUUCUGCAGAACCAGUUGCCUUUUGGAAUGGUAGUCCGUUUAGGCUCCAUGCAAUCGAUGUGGUAUCCAUGGUCGCAACCAUCACAGAGAACAAUCUUGUGAUCAUCUCGAUCGACGAGGCAAACUCGACAUAAACAAGAAGGGCAGUACCAACAGUGAGCAUAUGACUGGACCUGCUUAGUGGACAAACACCUUACAUGAUAGUAUUUACUAGGGCAUGAAUUGUGACCGCAUAUCCGUACAUCUUCUCCAUCUACUUCCUCCCUACAAAUUUUGCAAUCAGGCAAGUUUCUUCUCCCUAUGGACACCUCGAUCCCAUCAUAUGUACAAUUUGAAUUUUCCUCCAAUUCAUUGUGUGUUUCAUCAUUUGUAGGAAUGCUCUCAUCACCAACAAUGUUGUUCAAGGACUUUGGGGCAUUCAACCUUCCACACACCACACAAUUAUCAUGUGGAGAUCUUAUUUCAAUAGCAGUACAAUUGGCACAGAACCAGCUUUUUUCAGGUAAUUCCUUCAAAGCCG
rnacentral:lncRNA from 1 species